rnacentral:rRNA from 1 species
AAUAGAUACCUGGUAGUCCACGCCGUAAACGAUGAGUGCUAAGUGUUAGAGGGUUUCCGCCCUUUAGUGCUGCAGCUAACGCAUUAAGCACUCCGCCUGGGGAGUACGGUCGCAAGACUGAAACUCAAAGGAAUUGACGGGGGCCCGCACAAGCGGUGGAGCAUGUGGUUUAAUUCGAAGCAACGCGAAGAACCUUACCAGGUCUUGACAUCCCACUGACCGGUAUAGGGAUAUACCUUUCCCUUCGGGGACAGUGGUGACAGGUGGUGCAUGGUUGUCGUCAGCUCGUGUCGUGAGAUGUUGGGUUAAGUCCCGCAACGAGCGCAACCCUUGAUCUUAGUUGCCAGCAUUUAGUUGGGCACUCUAAGGUGACUGCCGGUGACAAACCGGAGGAAGGUGGGGAUGACGUCAAAUCAUCAUGCCCCUUAUGACCUGGGCUACACACGUGCUACAAUGGAUGGUACAAAGGGCUGCAAGACUGCGAAGUCAAGCCAAUCCCAUAAAACCAUUCUCAGUUCGGAUUGCAGG